GCUUGCUAACUUGCUAGAGCGGUGUUUGGGAAAGGAAAAGGUUUUAACCUACUGUGAUAUAGUCGCAGUUAUACCAAGGGCUGCUGUUAUAGGAGUCUGCUGGAUAGUUAGAUACGUGGACAGGUAAUUAGACACAGCCUCAGGAUUUGUUUCUCCAUCACAGAAUUUGACGGGAAUCCAGGAAACUGAUUUUAUUAGUUUGAACCGACAGAAAGAGAUAAAGAUGGCGACUGCAAGCAAUGACUUUAAACUCAUUGGUCCCAGUCAUGCAUGGUGUGAUCCAACUGUGACUCUCUCGUGUUGUCUGUCUCCUGAAAUCAGUGCUGUUAACAUGGAGAUUCAGUGGUUUAAGGAGACAGACUGUGUUUGUGUCUAUAAGAACAGACAGGUGAUAGUGGGAAGAGCUUACAAGGGCAAAGUGAGGCUGAUCACUCAGGAGCUGGAGACAGGAAACAUCUCCUUAGAACUGAGAGACUGUACAGAGUCAGAUUUAGGACAUUACCUGUGUCAGGUCAUUGAUGGAGACAGAAGAGGA